CGUAGGUAACUGCCCGGAGCGGGGGAUAACAUUUGGAAACAGAUGCUAAUACCGCAUAACAAUAAAAGCCGCAUGGCUUUUAUUUGAAAGAUGGCUUUGGCUAUCACUCUGGGAUGGACCUGCGGUGCAUUAGCUAGUUGGUAAGGUAACGGCUUACCAAGGCGAUGAUGCAUAGCCGAGUUGAGAGACUGAUCGGCCACAAUGGAACUGAGACACGGUCCAUACUCCUACGGGAGGCAGCAG
rnacentral:rRNA from 1 species